rnacentral:rRNA from 1 species
UACGGAGGGUGCGAGCGUUAUCCGGAUUCACUGGGUUUAAAGGGUGCGUAGGUGGGUUGGUAAGUCAGUGGUGAAAUCCCCGAGCUUAACUUGGGAACUGCCAUUGAUACUAUCAGUCUUGAAUACCGUGGAGGUCAGCGGAAUAUGUCAUGUAGCGGUGAAAUGCUUAGAUAUGACAUAGAACACCAAUUGCGAAGGCAGCUGGCUACACGGAUAUUGACACUGAGGCACGAAAGCGUGGGGAUCAAACAGG